UACGGGAGGCAGCAGUGGGGAAUAUUGGACAAUGGGGGGAACCCUGAUCCAGCCAUGCCGCGUGUGUGAAGAAGGCCUUAUGGUUGUAAAGCACUUUAAGCGAGGAGGAGGCUACUGAGACUAAUACUCUUGGAUAGUGGACGUUACUCGCAGAAUAAGCACCGGCUAACUCUGUGCCAGCAGCCGCGGUAAUACAGAGGGUGCGAGCGUUAAUCGGAUUUACUGGGCGUAAAGCGUGCGUAGGCGGCUUUUUAAGUCGGAUGUGAAAUCCCCGAGCUUAACUUGGGAAUUGCAUUCGAUACUGGGAAGCUAGAGUAUGGGAGAGGAUGGUAGAAUUCCAGGUGUAGCGGUGAAAUGCGUAGAGAUCUGGAGGAAUACCGAUGGCGAAGGCAGCCAUCUGGCCUAAUACUGACGCUGAGGUACGAAAGCAUGGGGAGCAAACAGGAUUAGAUACCCUGGUAGUCCAUGCCGUAAACGAUGUCUACUAGCCGUUGGGGCCUUUGAGGCUUUAGUGGCGCAGCUAACGCGAUAAGUAGACCGCCUGGGGAGUACGGUCGCAAGACUAAAACUCAAAUGAAUUGACGGGGGCCCGCACAGGCGGUGGAGCAUGUGGUUUAAUUCGAUGCAACGCGAAGAACCUUACCUGGCCUUGACAUACUAGAAACUUUCCAGAGAUGGAUUGGUGCCUUCGGGAAUCUAGAUACAGGUGCUGCAUGGCUGUCGUCAGCUCGUGUCGUGAGAUGUUGGGUUA
rnacentral:rRNA from 1 species